rnacentral:rRNA from 1 species
AUUCUCCUACGGGAGGCAGCAGUGAGGAAUAUUGGUCAAUGGGCGAGAGCCUGAACCAGCCAAGUCGCAUGAGGGAAGACGGUCCUAUGGAUUGUAAACCUCUUUUGUCGGGGAGCAAAAAGGCCUCGUGAGGCCACAAGUGAGAGUACCCGAAGAAAAAGCAUCGGCUAACUCCGUGCCAGCAGCUGCGGUAAUACGGAGGAUGCGAGCGUUAUCCGGAUUUAUUGGGUUUAAAGGGUGCGUAGGCGGACUGGAAAGUCAGCGGUACAAUCGAGAGGCUCAACCUCUUUACGCCGUUGAAACUG